AUGAGAGGGUUCGGUACCACUUGGUGUGAGUGGAUCAAAAGUGUCCUGACUGGUGGCACUGGCAGCGUUAAGUUGAAUAAUGUUAUGGGGCCUUAUUUCAAAAGUUUUAAGGGGGUCAGACAAGGAGAUCCUGUGUCGCCAUUCCUCUUCAACAUAGCAGUCGAGUGCUUGUCUAAGAUGGUGUUAUCAGCACAAAAAACAAUCUAA
rnacentral:rRNA from 1 species